rnacentral:tRNA from 1 species
GUCCCCUUCGUCUAGCGGUUAGGACAUCGCCCUCUCACGGCGAAAACAGGGGUUCGAUUCCCCUAGGGGAUA